UACGAAGGGGGCUAGCGUUGCUCGGAAUCACUGGGCGUAAAGCGCACGUAGGCGGCUUCUUAAGUCAGGGGUGAAAUCCUGGAGCUCAACUCCAGAACUGCCUUUGAUACUGAGGAGCUUGAGUCCGGGAGAGGUGAGUGGAACUGCGAGUGUAGAGGUGAAAUUCGUAGAUAUUGGGAAGAACACCGGUGGCGAAGGCGGCUCUCUGGACCGAGACUGACGCUGAGGCGCGAAAGCGUGGGGAGCAAAGCA
rnacentral:rRNA from 1 species